UUUCCGUGGGUGAACCUGCGGAAGGAUCAUUAUUGUAUAACCGAGGUGCGAGGGCUGUCGCUGACCCGAAAGGUCGUGCACGCCCGAGUGCCCUCACACACAUCCAUCUCACCCCUAUGUGCACCACCGCGUGGGUCCCCCUUUGGCUUGUUCGGAGGGGGGCUUACGUUUUCACACAAACUUUGUAUGCAGUGUAGAAUGUAUUUUUGUUUUUGCGAUCACGCAAUCAAUACAACUUUCAACAACGGAUCUCUUGGCUCUC
rnacentral:misc_RNA from 1 species